ensembl:lncRNA
GUGAGAUCACACACUACACCCAGAGUUACACCCACUUCUUCUUCUUCUCUAAUUCACUAGCUGGGCCCACGUCCUCAUUUUAAGUUUGACAGCGUUUUAGUAGGUAAAGGUGAAUGCUUGGACAUUAAUUGAGAUGGGGUUUGGGGAAGGCCUCGGAGGGGACUGGCGACGGCUCCCAGUCCUUGCAGAUCCCCAUGUACUAAAUAGGAGUGAAGAAGUUUAAGAAUUGAGAACAAGGAGGCAGGGUGGGGCACGUAAACAACCGGAAGGAGCGUGUUUGGAGGCGUGGUCCUGCUCUUGAAAUUCCGAUACUUAAUCUCCAAUUAAGUUAGAAAUGCAUAAGACCGUCUAAGAAAGCAUACAACAGAUAAAGAAGUUAGACAAUGUAGCUGUAGAACAGUGCAACAGACCAUGAAAUGCAAAAUAUUUAGUCAGAGUUAAAAACAAACAAACAUUUUGAGACAUCAUUUAUGAGAUAUACCAUGACACGGAUAUGAGGUAAAGACUUUAAAGGGUUGAAUGUUUGAAGAGUUGCUGUUGUCACAUGACACAGUGUCACAUAUUACUGAGGAGUCAGGACGUUCUCGUCUUGACCGUGUAGGCGGAUCCUGAAGUUUCGUAUGCCACCGUCAGCUACACCAAGAACACCAACGGUAACACCAGAUUCGGGGUGAUGAUGACAAUGAUGUGACCUACUGCACUGUGAAGGCUCCUUUGUCUUCUGCUGCAGCCACUGCUGAUCCCGACAACCUCUACUCUACUGUCACCUUUCCAAUCACAUAGCACAAGCAGCUCACAAAAGGACUUGUAUAUAAUGGAAAAUCCUUUUUUUCAAUUUCACAUGGAGCAGCAUGGUAGCAACAUGCUAAUUAGCUGUUUUUUUAAAACCCAUAUAUAAAUAUAUGUCUACUUUUUUAAUGAAAAUAUAAUUGGUGCCUGGAAUACUUUACGUAAGUUAUGAGCUGUAGCAGAUGCUCCAAAAGAAGGCUGGCUAGAUAGAAAAUAUACAACCAUUACAUCAAACACUGGCAUUCCUGGCAGCUGGACUGCUACAUGACCCACAGCGUUCAAAGUCACGGUCCAAGGGCUUUGUGUUGCAUUUGAGUUUUGAAUCCCUGUCUCUGUCAUUCUAGUAAUGCUGAGCUUUAGUUUUUGUUGUAUUAUUUGAGUGCUUUACUUCCUCGUUCCUGCAUUUAAUUUUCUUGAAUUCUUGGCUUUUAUUUAGUGUUGGUGCCUAUUUUGAGAAUUUCUUCUUGUGUUUCUAGUUCCCUCGUGUUCCCUCUGUCUCAUCUAUGUGUUUGUAUCCUCUGUAAUCAUGUUUAGCCCUGUCUUUUCUUUUUUUCCUGUUUUAGUUAGUUAGUUAGCUUUCCUUUAGUCGUCCUAUUUAGCCAAAUAAAAUAACUCUCUUUGCUGUUUUUCCUGCAUUUGUGUCCUGUUCACAUCGACUCUAUGACAUUCACUUGUCAGUAUUCCUUUCAUUAAAUUUAAUAUGUAAUAUAAGUGUAUAUGUCUUUUAACCCAUUUGUUUAACGUCUUUCUUUAUGGAAGAGAGAUAUUUUAUAUUGUAUGAAAUCACUAAACUGAUCAACCAACACAAUAGAAGCACCUGUUUAUUUUAUUAUUGUUAUUGUUUACUUU